rnacentral:rRNA from 1 species
UACGUAGGGUGCGAGCGUUGUCCGGAAUUAUUGGGCGUAAAGGGCUCGUAGGCGGUUUGUCGCGUCGGGAGUGAAAAUCCAGGGCUUAACUCUGGACUGGCUUCCGAUACGGGCAGACUAGAGGUAUGCAGGGGAGAACGGAAUUCCUGGUGUAGCGGUGAAAUGCGCAGAUAUCAGGAGGAACACCGGUGGCGAAGGCGGGUCUCUGGGCCGUUACUGACGCUGAGGAGCGAAAGCGUGGGGAGCGAACAGG